CGCGGCCUAUCAGCUUGUUGGUGAGGUAACGGCUCACCAAGGCAUCGACGGGUAGCUGGUCUGAGAGGAUGAUCAGCCACACUGGGACUGAGACACGGCCCAGACUCCUACGGGAGGCAGCAGUAGGGAAUAUUGCACAAUGGGCGAAAGCCUGAUGCAGCAACGCCGCGUGCGGGAAGAAGGCCCUAGGGUUGUAAACCGCUUUCAGCAGGGAAGAAAAUGACGGUACCUGCAGAAGAAGGCGCGGCCAACUACGUGCCAGCAGCCGCGGUGACACGUAGGCACCAAGCGUUGUCCGGAUUUAUUGGGCGUAAAGAGCUCGUAGGCGGUUCAGUUAGUCGGGUGUGAAAACUCUGGGCUCAACCCAGAGACGCCACUCGAUACUGCUGUGACUAGAGUGCGGUAGGGGAGCGGGGAAUUCCUAGUGUAGCGGUGAAAUGCGCAGAUAUUAGGAGGAACACCAGUGGCGAAGGCGCCGCUCUGGGCCGUAACUGACGCUGAGGAGCGAAAGCGUGGGUAGCAAACAGGAUUAGAUACCCUGGUAGUCCACGCCGUAAACGUUGGGCACUAGGUGUGGGUCUCAACCAACGAGAUCCGCGCCGUCGCUAACGCAUUAAGUGCCCCGCCUGGGGAGUACGG
rnacentral:rRNA from 1 species